CUUGCUUCUCAGCCUUGGACUAAGAUCAAGCAUAGUAUCUAUUCUUAUCAAUUUACUAUCUGAUACGUCUUCUAUCCCAGGACACUAUAUGAAAUGGACUUUGGGAACUAGGAGAUGGAAUAGGACAUUGCUCCAUCCACUCCACACACCAACCUGGUAAUGCAGUACUUCAAGGAAUGGUGACCGAAAU